GUUGAAAAACGGACUAAUACUCCAUAACACAGGGGUCCCGCAUGGGAAUAUUUGUUAAAGAUUUAUCGGUUGAAGAUGGGCAUGCGUUCCAUUAGCUUGUUGGUGAGGUAACGGCUCACCAAGGCCACGAUGGAUAGGGGAACUGAGAGGUUUAUCCCCCACACUGGAACUGAGACACGGUCCAGACUCCUACGGGAGGCAGCAGUGAGGAAUAUUGGUCAAUGGAGGCAACUCUGAACCAGCCAAGUCGCGUGAAGGAUGAAGGUCUUAUGGAUUGUAAACUUCUUUUGCAAGGGAAUAAAGUGGGGGACGUGUCCUCCUUUGCAUGUACCUUGCGAAUAAGGAUCGGCUAACUCCGUGCCAGCAGCCGCGGUAAUACGGAGGAUCCGAGCGUUAUCCGGAUUUAUUGGGUUUAAAGGGUGCGCAGGCGGGAUGUUAAGUCGGCGGUGAAAUUUUGCAGCUCAACUGUAAAAGUGCCUUCGAUACUGGCUUUCUUGAGUGUGGAUGAAGUAGGCGGAAUUUGUGGUGUAGCGGUGAAAUGCUUAGAUAUCACGAGGAACUCCGAUUGCGCAGGCAGCUUACUAAACCACUACUGACGCUCAUGCACGAAGGCGUGGGGAUCAAACAGGAUUAGAUACCCUGGUAGUCCACGCAGUAAACGAUGAUUACUAGUUGUUUGCGAUACAAUGUAAGCGACUGAGCGAAAGCGUUAAGUAAUCCACCUGGGGAGUACGUUCGCAAGAAUGAAACUCAAAGGAAUUGACGGGGGCCCGCACAAGCGGAGGAACAUGUGGUGUAAUUCGAUGAUACGCGAGGAAACCUUACCCGGGCUUGAAAUGCGGCGGACCGGCAGAGAGAUCUGCCUUC
rnacentral:rRNA from 1 species